rnacentral:rRNA from 1 species
GAUGAACGCUGGCGGCGUGCCUAAUACAUGCAAGUCGAGCGAACAGAUGAGGAGCUUGCUCCCCUGACGUUAGCGGCGGACGGGUGAUUAACACGUGGAUAACCUACCUAUAAGACUGGGAUAACUUCGGGAAACCGGAGCUAAUACCGGAUAAUAUAUUGAACCGCAUGGUUCAAUAGUGAAAUACGGUUUUGCUGUCACUUAUAGAUGGAUCCGCGCCGCAUUAGCUAGUUGGUAAGGUAACGGCUUACCAAGGCAACGAUGCGUAGCCGACCUGAGAGGGUGAUCGGCCACACUGGAACUGAGACACGGACCAGACUCCUGCGGGAGGCAGCAGUAGGGAAUCUUCCGCAAUGGGCGAGAGCCUGACGGAGCAACGCCGCGUGAGUGAUGAAGGUCUUCGGAUCGUAAAGCUCUGUUAUUAGGGAAGAACAAAUGUGUAAGUAACUAUGCACGUAUUGACGGUACCUAAACAGAAAGCCACGGCUAACUACGUG